rnacentral:lncRNA from 1 species
UACAAGGUCUCCAGAUUGAAUUUGUGAUUGAGUUUAUAAAUGUUUUCAUUAGACAUUUUCCAAAUUAUUAUUUUUUUAAUUGUUUACUUUUUAACGCUUUACCAUAUGAUUACCUUCUAACUGUUUUCUGUUUGUAUAAUUCAAUUUUGAAGUAGUAGUAACAUACAUAGGCACUAUACUAAACCGUAUGCUUUCGGCGCCGUUUGUGAUAUUCCUUCUUGAAAGCAAUAUAGUGAUAUCGUGAUCGUUGUAAAGUACAAUAUGUUAUUGAUUACAUAAUCUGCAUUGAUAACCUGAUUUGAUUUAACUGUUCAAUUUAAAAAUAGCGUUGCACUUCUAAUAAUCUAGAUAGAAUGAGGAGUGUUACGUAACAACAAAUAUGUUGAUCUUGACAUGUUUGAAUGUCUACCCUUAAUGUGGAAUGUCGUCAGUAGCUGUAGUACUUCGUUCAAGUUUAGUUCUUGACUCACGACAUCGUUUAAUGUACACAAUACCUAAUUGUCAAUCAAUAUAAAGCAGGUCAUAUCUCAUUAGAUUGUAUCUAUUUCCGGUAAACGUUUGUCAUGUUAUAAAGAUGCCUCAUUGAUUUUUAAUUUGAAUUGCAUAAUACUGAAUCACUAUGUUUACAUUUAAGGUCGUACUAUAUACUUUUUUCCUUUGUAAAAU